UGAGGUGUAGCUCAGUGGUAGAGCACUUGCCUAGCAGGCAUGAGUACUUGGGUUCAAUCCUCAAUAUUCUAA
rnacentral:tRNA from 2 species